AGAGUUUGAUCCUGGCUCAGAACGUACGCUGGCGGCACGCCUAACACAUGCAAGUCGAACGAAGUAGCAAUACUUAGUGGCAGACGGGUGAGUAACAUGUGGGUAUCUACCCUUUGGCCUGGAAUAACACGAGGAAACUUGUGCUAAUACCGGAUAAGUCUUUACGGAGAAAGCUUUAUGCACCAUUGGAUGAGCCCGCACUUGAUUAGUUUGUUGGUAGGGUAAUGGCCUACCAAGACUAUGAUCAAUAGCUGAUUUGAGAGGAUGAUCAGCCACAUUGGGACUGAGACACGGCCCAAACUCCUACGGGAGGCAGCAGUGGGGAAUCUUGCACAAUGGAGGAAACUCUGAUGCAGCGAUGCCGCGUGAGUGAAGAAGGCCUUUGGGUUGUAAAGCUCUUUCGUCGGGGAAGAAAAUGACUGUACCCGAAUAAGAAGGUCCGGCUAACUUCGUGCCAGCAGCCGCGGUAAUACGAAGGGACCUAGCGUAGUUCGGAAUUACUGGGCUUAAAGAGUUCGUAGGUGGUUGAAAAAGUUGGUGGUGAAAUCCCAGAGCUUAACUCUGGAACCGCCAUCAAAACUUUUCAGCUAGAGUAUGAUAGAGGAAAGCAGAAUUUCUAGUGUAGAGGUGAAAUUCGUAGAUAUUAGAAAGAAUACCAAUUGCGAAGGCAGCUUUCUGGAUCAUUACUGACACUGAGGAACGAAAGCAUGGGUAGCGAAGAGGAUUAGAUACCCUCGUAGUCCAUGCCGUAAACGAUGUGUGUUAGACGUUGGAAAUUUAUUUUCAGUGUCGCAGGAAACCGAUAAACACACCGCCUGGGGAGUACGACCGCA
rnacentral:rRNA from 1 species